rnacentral:RNase_P_RNA from 1 species
GAAGCCCGCCAGACCGCCGCUGGUGCAAUCUGGGAAACCAGGCACUGGAGGAACGUCCGGACUGCACAGGGCAGCGUAGCAGGUAACUCCUGUCCACCGUGAGGUGAGGAUCAGAGCAACAGAGACGAGCCGAUUUAGUUCGGGUGAAACGGGCAAUCUCUACGCGCAGCAAUACCAAGUAGGCCAGCGUUGAUGCGGUCCCGCAGAGCUGGCGGGUAGGUAGCACCGAGCUGAUCGGCGACGAUCAGCCAAGAGUAAUGGCGGUCACGAUUGCGUCUUCGAAAGAGGAGGCAAUCGACACAGAAUCCGGCUUACGGCGGACUUCACAC